AGCGAACGCUGGCGGCAGGCUUAACACAUGCAAGUCGAGCGGGCGUAGCAAUACGUCAGCGGCAGACGGGUGAGUAACGCGUGGGAACGUGCCCUUUGGUUCGGAACAACACAGGGAAACUUGUGCUAAUACCGGAUAAGCCCUUACGGGGAAAGAUUUAUCGCCGAAGGAUCGGCCCGCGUCUGAUUAGCUUGUUGGUGAGGUAACGGCUCACCAAGGCUACGAUCAGUAGCUGGUCUGAGAGGAUGAUCAGCCACACUAGGACUGAGACACGGCCCAGACUCCUACGGGAGGCAGCAGUGGGGAAUAUUGGACAAUGGGGGCAACCCUGAUCCAGCCAUGCCGCGUGAGUGAUGAAGGCCCUAGGGUUGUAAAGCUCUUUCGGCGGGGAAGAUAAUGACGGUACCCGCAUAAGAAGCCCCGGCUAACUUCGUGCCAGCCGCCGCUGUAA
rnacentral:rRNA from 1 species